rnacentral:lncRNA from 1 species
AUGUCUCUAUCCAUUCAUACUGUCUUUCUCUCUCUCUCUUGCUCUCACUCUCUCGACAUCAUCCUCUAUCUCUUCAUCAUCUUCAUUCAUUCUCUCUCUCUGUCUCUCCUGAUCCUUCUCCUCCCUCAUCUUCCUUCUCGUCGUUCUUACACUCCUCCCCUUCUUUUUCACCUCUUCAUCUUCCUCUCUUUUCCUAUACUUCUCCCUCCUCUCCCCCCUCUCUCUCUCUCCUCUCCCAAACAUAGAAAAAGGGGACAUAAAAUGUAUAUUUCUCUCUCUCUCUCCUGCUACUAUAGACUGCUGCUCAGUGGUGUGGAAGGUAAAGUGCUCCUUCUCUCUGUUCCAUCACCCAGCUUUACUCUAACUCUCUCUGUUCCAUCACCCAGCUCUACUCUACCUCUCUCUGUUCCAUCACCCAGCUCUACUCUACCUCUCUCUGUUCCAUCACCCAGCUCUACUCUACCUCUCUCUGUUCCAUCACCCAGCUUUACUCUAACUCUCUCUGUUCCAUCACCCAGCUCUACUCUACCUCUCUCUGUUCCAUCACCCAGCUCUACUCUACCUCUCUCUGUUCCAUCACCCAGCUCUACUCUACCUCUCUCUGUUCCAUCACCCAGCUUUACUCUACCUCUCUCUGUUCCAUCACCCAGCUCUACUCUACCUCUCUCUGUUCCAUCACCCAGCUCUACUCUACCUCUCUCUGUUCCAUCACCCAGCUUUACUCUAACUCUCUCUGUUCCAUCACCCAGCUCUACUCUACCUCUCUCUGUUCCAUCACCCAGCUCUACCUCUCUCUGUUCCAUCACCCAGCUCUACUCUACCUCUCUCUGUUCCAUCACCCAGCUCUACUCUACCUCUCUCUGUUCCAUCACCCAGCUCUACUCUACCUCUCUCUGUUCCAUCACCCAGCUCUACUCUACCUCUCUCUGUUCCAUCACCCAGCUCUACUCUACCUCUCUCUGUUCCAUCACCCAGCUCUACCCUGCCUCUCUCUGUUCCAUCACCCAGCUCUACUCUGCCUCUCUCUGUUCCAUCACCCAGCUUGCUCUACCUCUCUCUGUUCCAUCACCCAGCUCUACUCUACCCUGCCUCUCUCUGUUCCAUCACCCAGCUCUACUCUACCUCUCUCUGUUCCAUCACCCAGCUCUACUCUACUUCUCUCUGUUCCAUCACCCAGCUUGCUCUACCCUGCCUCUCUCUGCCUGCUGGGCACUGGCUCUGCAAACAACCCUCACACACGGGAGCACACACACUCAAACUGCUAGCCUCAAAAUCAUAGUCCUCAAUAAUACAUGA